AGUUGCUGUUCUUGGUCAUGGAUGAUUUUGUUCGCAACAAAUUAACUGAGUGGAAUCUCAGCGACUGGAUAGAAACAUUCAAAGAUCAAUGCAUUGACAAGGAAAGUCUUUACUGUCUGGGUGAUCAAGAAAUUGCUGAAUUGAUCCCAACAGUGGGACCAAGGUCAAAAUUCAAGAAGAGACUCAAGUUGUUAAAGG